AAACACAAGAAAUAAGAAGACCAUUUUGAGAAGAACAGAGAGUAGCCUUAAGAAAAUCCCUGUCGCAAGCACUCUGGGAUUUGGACUCAAAUGCUAAUUAUACAUCUUAGGAGAGGCAAUAGUUUUUCAUAUUUGAAAUUAAAUUUUAAGAGAUCUACUUGGAAUAAGUAGUUAUUACCAGCCAACAUAUUUACUUUUGAAUUGGCUAAGCAAUUUUAGGAAAAAAUUUAAGUAUUUUGUACUCGAUCUUCCUAAAAUUUGGCUAUACUUGUCAUUUUGCUGUUCAAAACCUUUCCAUUAACCUUCUCUUCCUGGAGAAGGGAAUAAAACUCUUAAGCCUGGUCCCUGACACUCCUCAACAUUAAGCCCCUUUGGAUUCUCUCACUCUUAAUGUGUCUCUUCCAUGACAUCUUGCCCUAGACAAACCGGUUGAUCCUUUGUUCUCUUAAAACACAAUGUGCCUUUCUAUCAUUUUAUCAUUACUUCCUAACGGAAAUAUCUCCUUUCUUCUCUGCCACUCAAAUAAAUUCUACCUUUUCUUCAACAUUAGGUCUCAUUUCUCAUCAUCUCUUUCCCCAAAUACUCCUGCAAAAAGUAAUUUUUCCUUUCUUGCUACUUCUCUGUCACUUAAAG
rnacentral:lncRNA from 1 species